GAAGCUUAUCGAAUUUUGAGCUUAUCGAAAAUGUGAGCUUGUGACAUUGCACAAGCCACGAGUUGCAUUCACAAUAAUUUUUAACGAUAUGCAGAAUUAACUUGGAAUCUAACAUAACGAUUUGUAUAGAUUUUAAUGUAUUGUAUAUAAAUCUUUCGGUCUUUCACUGUAACAUAUGCAUAAGAAACAAACUAUUUUCAAAGGAAUGAAUAACUGCAUUUACACAUGGAACGAGUCAUUCGAUUGCUCAUUAUGAAUCCAGUUUAAUUUUCUUCCUCCCUAGAGACUGCAGGAAACUUUUAACCAAGAAAUUUAAAAUUAAGAACUCCAGUAAGUACCUGCAUUCAUGAGUGUAAUCGGAUUGAAUAGUAAGAGCUCUUUUCAUCAAAAAUUUGGGUAAGUUUAAUGAUUUAUUAUGCUGUGUUUCAGUUGUUUCCAAUAUCUUUAACUUUUUCCAAUUUUAAUUUCUUUUCAUAUGACCUGUACAAUUUUUGAAACUUACCAUGUCUCUAAUUUAUCAUAAACCUACGUAAUUUAUCUUUAUAGCAUACAUUUCUGCUUAAUACUUUGACAGAGAGGAAGAAUCUGACAAAAUAGGAUCUGUUAUGUUGCUUAUAAUCUGCCUAACGCAGAUUAAUUCCAAAAUGAUCCUGUAUGACUGACUGCCUGAUAUAGACCUAACUACGCAAGAAAAUUUAUUUUGGAAUAUUGCCAUUUUAUUUGAUUUAGAAGAAGUCUGAUGAGUCCUUAUGAUUCGUAUGAUUGUGCGUUGUGCGGCUACAGUCCCGGCAGUGGUCUACUCAGUGACAAAAGUGGAGUGCAGGCAUCUGUGACCUUGAAGAGCUUUUGGUACGUCUUCUUA